CGAAGGCCUCGGACGCGACUCAGUGUGAGCUCGACCACCGUGGGGAUCAGAAGUCUCCUGGAACUGCGCUUCUCUUUUCUCGCUCUCCCCUCAUGUGCGUCGCUUUAUGUCCCCAAGGCCUCACCACACCUCCAAAAUUCCGUCAAUAAGAAGACCCAGGUCGUCAGUCCAGGGACGAUACUCGGGCAGCCGUCUGGACCAGUGCACCUUUACCCUGUACGGGGGCAACUGGAGAUUCACACUUAACGGUCUACCACCGUGGUACUGAGGUUUGCCCCCAACCUCCAUUCUGAGGUUACACAGGCCGUAACAAAGGCUGAUACACAUUACCGUGGAGGUUACAAGAACCACAAGAGAACUCUUUUCUAAAUUGCUCCCAUCCCCCUUCUCGAAUCCAAUCCAAACAUCGCCCAACAACAACAAGUGCUAAAUAACAGAACUUCGACAAGACAACUGCCAAACCGUGCAAACAUGAAGCUCGAGUGCAAUUUUUUCACGGGGUCUGCUCGCAUCCUCAACCAGGAGACGACCAUGGAUGCCAUCAGGGACUUAACCAAGGA